AAAAAUCCUUGGGGUGAAAAAGGGAUCAAAGGGAAUUGUGUGGGAUUGAGCUGCUCCUUCUGCCCCUUUGCAGAGCCUGCGGCGAGCGAGGAAGGCGCCGAUCCCGGCGGGAAGGAUGACCCCGAGCAGAGCUGCGUGCUGCUGCUGUCCAACCUGCCGCCCGGGGGCUCCUCUCCGGCCGAGCUCUGCAGCCUGGCCGAGCCCUUCGGGGGCCUGCGGGACCUGCUCGUCCCCUCCUCCCACAAACAGGUACGGCCCCGAAGCGCUCUGGGGCUCCUUGGGGGUUUUGGGGUUUGUUUGGGAUUUUUUAGGGAUUUUUGGGGAAUUUUGGGGAUAUUUUGAAGA
rnacentral:lncRNA from 1 species